rnacentral:rRNA from 1 species
GACGAACGCUGGCGGCGUGCUUAACACAUGCAAGUCGAACGGAAAGGCCCUGCUUUUGUGGGGUGCUCGAGUGGCGAACGGGUGAGUAACACGUGAGUAACCUGCCCUUGACUUUGGGAUAACUUCAGGAAACUGGGGCUAAUACCGGAUAGGAGCUCCUGCUGCAUGGUGGGGGUUGGAAAGUUUCGGCGGUUGGGGAUGGACUCGCGGCUUAUCAGCUUGUUGGUGGGGUAGUGGCUUACCAAGGCUUUGACGGGUAGCCGGCCUGUGAGGGUGACCGGCCACAUUGGGACUGAGAUACGGCCCAGAAUACUACGGGAGGCAGCAGUGGGGAAUAUUGCACAAUGGGCGGAAGCCUGAUGCAGCAACGCCGCGUGCGGGAUGACGGCCUUCGGGUUGUAAACCGCUUUCGCCUGUGACGAAGCGUGAGUGACGGUAAUGGGUAAAGAAGCACCGGCUAACUACGUG